GGGAGAAUCCUGAAUUCGAAAGGGGCCGGAUUCCAGUCCAUCCUGGUUUCACCGGGCCGUCUCUCUCCGCCAGAUGGCGUCGGACGCCCGCGGCGAUUCACUUCGCUUGCGGUGUCGUUCCCGGCGUUCACUCGGCGGGGUGGCGUGUCUCCGGUUCCGGAGGGCCGCAUUUCCACCCUUUGUAGAAACGUCGCGACCCGUUGGGUGCCGGUCUAAGGCCCGGGAAGGCAGACCGUUCGUUCGGCGAGGGCUCUCGCCGGCGGGCGGACUCCCGGUGUCCCGGCCGGCUGCCCGACGGUAUGACCAGAGGAGCCGAUCCGCUAAUUGGGAAACACUUUGGCUGUGUAGCGUCCGGCCCGGCGCCGAAGCGCGAGGGGAUUCAGGGUGCAAACCUCGGGUGUCCGUGUCGACCACGGCCCCGGCCCUUCCGCGUCUUCGGUUCUACCGGUGUCCUCGGACUGGAUCGAUACUCCCGUCAGCGACGCCCAUCUUCGGAUGGUCUCCCG
rnacentral:rRNA from 1 species